GAUGUUUUUUCUGUUUCCAGAAACCCCAACGGGGAGGGGCUGCCCCAUUGGCCCAUGUAUGACCAGAAGGAAGGGUACCUGCAGAUUGGGGUCCCCACCCAGGCAGCCCAGAAGCUGAAAGAUGAGGAAGUGGCGUUCUUCACCGAGCUCCUUGCCCAGGACACAGCCAGGACGUCACCCCAAACAGAGCAUAUUGAGCUGUGAAGGGGAGGCCCAUCCAGCCUCCACGAUCUGGGGGAGCUUAGAGGUAAUUCUACAGAAGGUGUUUAUGGCCAAAAAGGUUAUUAAGUCACCAGAUCAUCCGGAAAGUUCUAUCGUAAGCGACGGGCUUUCUUCGUUGUAAAUUGAGCACAAGAACAUUGUCAGGGAGGCAUGAAACUUUCUACACUGGAUGGGACCUUUGAUUAUCUGAUCCAAACCUGCUUUUAUGGGCAAAGAACUUAAAAUGCACCCCCUCUCCCAGGAACCCAGCUGGUCAGCUGCAACUCUAAAUGCUGUGCCGUUUCCGCCGCCCCACACUCCCUCUCUGUUCUUCUCCAUCCCAGGGCUUUCAAAGGAAAUAAACAAAUGAAAUGAGCUCGGGGGGCCUCUUGGCUAAGAAAUGACUUCUUUGGUAAGAAUGCUUCAGCCUCGCGUUACCAGGGCUGCAAAAUGGAUCCUCCCGCCCGGGCAGGAACCCCCUCUGAGAAUUAAGGCAGCUUUGGGGAUGUCUAUCCAGCAGGAUAUUUGGCACGAGUGGGCCACUCCCGUCUCCUCGGCAUCUGGAACGAAGGCCAGCUGACAGGUGGACGCCAAGUAUCUGGACGUUACUCUGCCACAGGGACUCCCAGCGUCAGAGUAACAACCCGCAAGUCUAGAGUUCCAACACGGGUGCAAGAGACUCAGACCAGAAACAGGAGCCCCACAUCAGUGCGGCCAAUGGAACCCAUCAUUUCUCCCAAUGAGCUGGAACUGACCACCCCCGCCACCAGAGGGCGCCACUUGCAGGUCGCUAUGGAAGCCAACCUGGAAAUUCCUACCUGCUCCACCCACCCAGAAUCCGGUUCCCUUAACCAGCCGUGGCUCUGGACCAGCUGACGGCGAGGGGCCGGAAGGAUGUUCCAGAUGGCACCUGUCAGACCCAGAUUAGCCAGAGUGAAAACCCAUGAAGUCGUCGUUCCUGCUCCCACCUCUCCUCUCCUCCCCGAGGCUCACCAGUCCACGUUCACAGCCCCCGGGCCCAACGAACAGAAGGCAAAGGAAAACCAGGUCACGAAAUCAUGGGGCAUGGGGACGGGAGGAAGGGGGGCGGGGGAGCAUCUGCCGGGAGAGGGAUCCCGGACAGCGGACAGCGUCUGGGUGGCGGCGAAGUGGGCGCCUGGACCUGGAC